UACGUAGGGCGCGAGCGUUGUCCGGAAUCAUUGGGCGUAAAGAGCUCAUAGGCGGCCGGUUGCGUCUGCUGUGAAAUCCCGGGGCUUAACCCCGGGCGUGCAGUGGAUACGGGCUGGCUGGAGGCAGGCAGGGGAGAAUGGAAUUCCCGGUGUAGCGGUGAAAUGCGCAGAUAUCGGGAGGAACACCGGUGGCGAAGGCGGUUCUCUGGGCCUGUGCUGACGCUGAGGAGCGAAAGCGUGGGGAGCGAACAGG
rnacentral:rRNA from 1 species